CUCAACACUUAGUUGGUUCAAGUUGCAGAACGAUUUCGACCGUCCAUUGUAAAAUCUGGACAGACCUCUUCUGCAGAAGAUCAGAAAAUCAAAUUCAGGAACAGAUUCAGUUACUUAAUCGGAAGAGCAUCUUCGAGCGCAGCCAAGGAAUCCAGCGUUCUCCGGCGAUUAGGUUGCGUCUCUCGUUCAUCAACAUCACUCUCUCCAUCGCUAGACGACGGCAGAGGAUGAGGAACAACAUCCUGAACAAUUUCCUUCCCCUCGCUGUCUCCGUCAACAUAACCGCCAUCGAUUCUCUCCAUUCCUUCAGCUUGUUUGCAAAAAUAACCAGGUACAAAUGUUGGAGAAAUUACCAGUGUCUUCUGCUUGCAAUACAGCCGGAGCCAUUUGAGCUUCCUGAGUUGGACGGGUAACGGGAGCAGAAGCUUUACCCUGAUUCAUCGAG